rnacentral:rRNA from 1 species
AUUGAACGCUGGCGGCAUGCUUUACACAUGUAAGUCGAACGGUAACAGGCCUUCGGGUGCUGACGAGUGGCGAACGGGUGAGUAAUGCAUCGGAACGUGCCCAGAGGUGGGGGAUAACGCAGCGAAAGCUGUGCUAAUACCGCAUGUGAUCUGAGGAUGAAAGCGGGGGACCAGGCAGCAAUGUUUGGCCUCGCGCCUUUGGAGCGGCCGAUGUCAGAUUAGGUAGUUGGUGGGGUAAAGGCCUACCAAGCCGACGAUCUGUAGCUGGUCUGAGAGGACGACCAGCCACACUGGGACUGAGACACGGCCCAGACUCCUACGGGAGGCAGCAGUGGGGAAUUUUGGACAAUGGGCGCAAGCCUGAUCCAGCAAUGCCGCGUGCGGGAAGAAGGCCUUCGGGUUGUAAACCGCUUUUGUACGGAACGAAAAGGCUCUGGCUAAUACCUGGGGCUGAUGACGGUACCGUAAGAAUAAGCACCGGCUAACUACGUG